AGGGAGCGGCUGGAAUGGCGGCGGCGGGCAGAGCCCAGAGGAGCAGUGGAAAUGUAGCAGAAACUCUGCACCCUUAGCGGGAGCGCUGGGGGUAUCCCGGCAGGCAGGGGGGCUGAGGUUACGGUGUAGCCAAAAACCCUGAGCGGUGGCGGAGAAGCGGCGGGGCUGGGCAGCAGCAGCCCGGCUCCCGAACAGGCCCGGGAGAGGCUCCCUGGGAGGGGAGGGCUCUGAGGGCCCUGGGUUUUGCCCUGAGGCACCUGAGCAGAUGGUUAGGGUCCUUUCCAUGAGGCCAGGUGUUAAUAGUGGCCCAGUGCAUCGGCCACUCCUACGAGCAGAGCCUCACUCAGGGUAAGGAAGAAGCGGGACAGGGCUGGGCUCCGGCAGUGGCUGUGAAUUCUCCCCACAGUAAGAAACAGCUCGACCAUUCUCUCUGAUGCCGACAGCGAGAGGAGCCGAGCCCAGCCCCUCACCACCCGGCCAAAAUCUCGGGUAUCUCUGCUGUUCCAAAGAGAAAACCCCUCAGGUGUAUAACCCACCAUCCAGAAUCCCUCCAGUGUCAGCUGAAUUCCUCGUGUUCAUAUUCCAAAGAAAACUACUGCAGUUGUCUUCAGCUGUUGCCUCUGUUGGUGGUCCUUGUAGAGGAGCCAAGGGCUGGGGUGAUCUCAGGAGACUGCUCAGGGGGAAUUCAGGGACGAAAAAUUUAAUGGUUGCAGUUUUAUAGUCUUUAUCAGACCAUCACGGCUGUAAUCGAAAGAUAAGAGUCAUCAUCUGUCAUCUCAAUCAAACUUCAAGAGAAAAUCAUUGCAAGAGAGCCUCUGUGCCCAUGGGGAUCUGGGGCUGUGUGACACAGCUAGGGAUGCAGUUGGGCAGGAGCUGCCUCUGACAGCAGCCAAGACAAACCUUUUUU